rnacentral:miRNA from 1 species
UGCUGCCGACUCAUGCAUCC